AUCUGCGACCGAGCUUUCCACUCCACUACUGACGUACUCCAUGCCUAAGCAUAGGUUUAGGCUCAAACUUGGCUAAGUUCAUCUAUUCAACAAUAUCUUGUGUUCGUAUCAAGUGCUUAUUUGGAAUAAGAUGAGCGGUUUAGGAGGUAGGAUAUUUUUGCUUCCGUUUGCAGUCCAUAUCUCUAGAAGUCCGUGACAAGCUCGACGGGGCUGACACCAAAGUUGGUCUUAACCGCAGCACGUAAGCCAAUGAGGAUGGCAAGAGUGCAGUCACAGCCUAUUACAGUCCACGUAUACCAUAUUAAUGAACUUAAAUUAGUGCGUCGUCUCGAAGAUAGUUUCAUUUGCCAAGCCUUUCCAGUGUCGGACUUACCAGUAUUUUCGUGCUUCAAGUACAGCGGUUCAACAUUGAAAGUUCGAUGCAAAGCGUGACUGUUCUUCACCCUGAAGACAAGGUGAAGAUAUGGUGAAAAAUAUUCCGUCUGUAACAUUCCAAAGUCCAACCGCCAAGCUACGUACCACAUUGCAGUACAAUCGAAAUGUACCAUCAGCCAUUUUGAAGGGUUGAAAGCCAGGCUGUCGGCAAACUGUAUUCCUCUCAUCCAAUGACGAUGCUCUUCACAAAUAAAUGCUGACCCAGCAUAGGCUGCAUCAACAUGAAGCCACAAUUGCUCUUCUUGACCUAAGGGCAACGGAAUAAAAAAGAUUAGAAGUCAUAAUCCAAGGCAUGGAGUCCGUCAGGACUGGAGAGGAAAGCUUUUUGAAACCUCGCUAGAUGACGUAUCAGCGUUGCGUUACGUCCUAAUAGGGUGCUUGAGCUUGAAGGAAGAAUUUAUUAAGCAUUCUUUCUCUCAACGGAUGAAUCUGAUCAGAAGAGUUAUUGCUUGAACGUCUUCUAGAGAGGUUUUGUAGAGCUUUCCUCUCCUAAGCCUCCGUGUCCAAAGUUACAUAUCUUUGCCUCUAUGAAGAGCCAUUUUUUGUACCUCUGCCAGCAUCAACUCGUCCAAUUUCAACCAGAUUAUACAUCGGCUAGGCCGUUUCAACUAGAUUAAACAUUAAUUCGGUUCA